UACGUAGGGGGCAAGCGUUGUCCGGAAUCAUUGGGCGUAAAGCGCGUGUAGGCGGCUCGAUAAGUCUGCUGUGAAAGUUCAGGGCUCAACCCUGAAAUGCCGGUGGAAACUGUCGAGCUAGAGUCCGGAAGAGGCGAGUGGAAUUCCUGGUGUAGCGGUGAAAUGCGCAGAUAUCAGGAGGAACACCAAUGGCGAAGGCAGCUCGCUGGGACGGUACUGACGCUGAGAAGCGAAAGCAUGGGGAGCGAACAGG
rnacentral:rRNA from 1 species